CCCCCACCUGGCCCUGGCCCCUCCUGAGAGGGGAUGCUCCACUGUCAGAACUUGGAGGCACCUGCUGUUCCACCUGCAGCUGGGCUGCAUCUUCUCUCAACAGAUUCAUGUCGGCAUUUCACACCCUUCUUCCUGCAGCCCCAUUUCCAAAGUGAGACCAUCCCCACAUCCUUCAAGGCAGGCCAGAGGUCUCCAUAGCACAGGAUUGGACCAUUUGCCUUGCAUGUAGGUCUUCUGUCCUGGGUGGCAUCUCCGGGGGGGGGGGGCUGCAAAUGUCCCCCCCAUCCAAAACCCCAGAGAGUUGUUGCCAGUCAGUGCAGGCUAGUUGAAGAAGGAUAUUGAGCAGCUGGAAGGUAAGCAGAGGAGGGCAACCAGGAUGAUGAAGGGUCUGGAAGCCAAGCCUGAUGAGGAAUGGUUGAGGCAGUUGGAAACCAAGCCUGAUGAGGAACAGUUGAGGCAGUUGGAUACCAAGCCUCAUGAGGAACGGUUGAGGCAGCUGGGUAUCUUUAGCCUGGAGAAGAGGAGACUGAGAGGAGAGAGGAGAGCCAUAUCUGAUAUCCAAUAUCUGAGGGCUGCAAGAGGGAGCAAGCUUGUUUUCUGCUGCUCCAGAGAGGAGGGCAGGAGAGGAGAUUAGGACUAAACAUUAGGAAGAACUUUCUGAUGGUAAGACUCUCUGGGAUGGUGGUGGACUCUCCUUCCUUGGAGGCUUUUAAGCAGAGGUUGGAUGCCAAUCUGCGAGGGAUUCAGCUGCAAUUUGGGGAGCGCAUAGCACUGGCCUACUUUACAGGGUUGUUGUAACCACACAGGGCUGCUGAGCAUCCAAAAGUGCCUGACAAAUGUUGAGCCUUCCAUUUCAUUGUAGGGAACAGCUGCAGCGCAUCAGGAGGCGUCCCUCAACUUCCGUUUCUUCUCUCUCCUGCAGCCAAAGGGGCCGGGCCGGAUUACCAAAUAGGCAGAGUAGGCACCGGCCUAUGGGCCCCACACUCUUUGGGGUCCCCCAAUGGAUAAAAAUAAUAUUGAUUUGAUCUUGAAAGAAAACAACAACCAAGCUUUGUUAGUUCAAUUUUAUUCCAGCGUAUGCACAAGGCCUACCCCCCACCCAGAUUUUGACCGCCCAGGGGCCUCCACAGGGCUUAAUCCAGCACUGCCCCUUGAACAGCCCAGUAUACCUGAAGGA
rnacentral:lncRNA from 1 species